AUUGCGAAUUUUUGUUGAAAGAUUUGAUUUUUUAGAGAUAAAUUUGCAUUUAAAAACUAAAAAUUUCUGAAAAUGAAGAAACUAGAUAAAAUGAAUAAUUUUGAAGAAUGUUUUUAUUUUCUAUUUUCCCGCUUUAAUACUGCAAAUUUU
ensembl:ncRNA C36F7.26 ncRNA